GCCUGAGAAACGGCUACCACAUCCAAGGAAGGCAGCAGGCGCGCAAAUUACCCACUCCCGGCACGGGGAGGUAGUGACGAAAAAUAACGAUACGGGACUCUUUUGAGGCCCCGUAAUCGGAAUGAGUACACUCUAAAUCCUUUAACAAGGAUCCAUUGGAGGGCAAGUCUGGUGCCAGCAGCCGCGGUAAUUCCAGCUCCAAUAGCGUAUAUUAAAGUUGUUGCGGUUAAAAAGCUCGUAGUUGGAUCUCAGUUCCAGACAAGCGGACCGCCUUUCGGCGUGUUCUGCUUGGACUGAACAUCCUGUCGGAUGUCCCUCGGUGCUCUUUAUUGAGUGUCUUGGGUGCCCGCCACGUUUACUUUGAAAAAAUUAGAGUGCUUAAAGCAGGCGAUUUGCCCGAAUAAUGGUGCAUGGAAUAAUGGAAUAGGACCUCGGUUCUGUUGAGUUGGUUUUCGGAACACGAGGUAAUGAUUAAGAGGGACAGACGGGGGCAUUCGUAUUGCGGCGCUAGAGGUGAAAUUCUUGGACCGUCGCAAGACGAACUACU
rnacentral:rRNA from 1 species